UGCGAGGUAGAGAAGUUGGAAUCUUGCUGGGUUCAUAUCCCAGAGGUCGUGGGUUCGAGUCCCACUCUCGCGA
rnacentral:tRNA from 1 species